AGCGUGCACUGCACCCGCGGCCUCCAAAGCGUCCCGGGACCUCGCGCUCUGUGCUCUCCACCUAGGCGAAAGGAAGCCAGUGGGGAGACUUCGGCUUAAGGAUCAGAUCAUGGUCCAGGUCCCGGUUCCGGUCCCGGAAUAGGGUACGUGCAGAGGCUCCACACCCAGCAUGGAGCCCGACUUAGGGCUUGAACUCACCACCCUGAGAUCAAGACCUGAGCUGAGAUCAAAAGUCAGAUGCUUAACCAACUGAGCCACCCAGGUCUUGACACAAAUAACGAAAUCUGCAUGUAAAUAUCCAGCGCACUUCACCCGGAGCUGAGACAUCCCAUUUUAGGACAAGUCCAGUGAUUAUCUCCACCCAGUCAGAAGAAACCUGAGAGUUUUCCAGGGAGCGAUUCAUGGGGGGUGAAGGGGACUCAGCAAUCACCAUGGAGGUGGGCAGCCAGGGGCUUCAGAAACAAGGAGAGGAAGCAGAUGAGGUCUUCAGAUGACUUCUUCUCAAUAUUUGAUAAAGGAUGAGGGUUGAACAACUCAGGUAGGCAUUUCUGCAAGUGGCAUCUUAACCAACACAUUCCACAGUUUUGCCUGGCAAGGCCUUCACUUAAUAAAUACCCACUCUCUGUUUUCUAAAUUCUGUCCUGGGCUUCUCUAAUCUCUUAGAAGAACUGCCCAGAGUGGAAGAGCUCAAGGACAUGAGAAGCCCAGGCUUUGGGGGUGAAUUUUGGCUGUUUUGGCUGUGCGAUCUUGAACAAAUAACCUAUGCCAGCUUCAGGCUUCUCGUCUAGGUAAUAAUGGGGAUAGCACACCUCUUCCUAGGGUUUUUAGAUAACACAAGCAAAACUAGCAUAGUGCCUGGCCCCACAAGAAGCAUUUUAUAAAUGUAACUGGAAACCAGGCAAAAUGAACAAACUUCCCAACCAGUCCCUGAGAAAUCUGGAACAAGCUGCAUUUUCCCUAGCAGACUCUAGUCUGUGUCUGGAAGGAGCCAUGGCUCCCCUCCAUGUCUCUUACUCACAGAUGUUGACAGCAAUCUGCCGCAUCCCUGAGAGAUCUCAGUAAGAAUCAACUGACUGAGCAAACACAGGCAGAGCAGUAGCCCCUACGGGUCAGCGUGGAUAUGGCUGGAUGGCAGCAGGUGCACAGACAUCCACGAGGAAGAGAUUAGCUGAACGUUGAGCAUGAACACUGAGUGGAAGGUUGAAGCGCCGUGAGCCUACUUCUCAAAGUCAUAUGAGUUGCCAAAUCAGUGGGAUUGGAAGGGGUUCUUCUUUCCAAGCAACUGUGAGGAAGUUCGCCUGAUCACCUCCAUGCCUUUGCUCAGACUGUUCCCUCGGUCUAGAAUGUCUUCGUCUCUCCUCUCCAACUUGGGAACCCCAUGCCCAGCCUUCAGUCCCCUCACUUUCACAGCCUAUGCGGUCACACCACUGAUGUUAUGCUAAGGUUUCAUUGCCGUGUUCUGUGCCAGUUGCUGAAGGAGGGCACCUGUCACCUCCAUCCCCUGGCAGGGUGUAGCCGGGGGUUUAAGACCUAAUAGAGUCUGUACAGUCCAAUGAAAAUAUAAUGAGAGCCACAUUAUGAUUUUUAAUUUUCUAGUAAUGCUUAACAGUUACUAAUUAAAUGUCACUUAAAAAGAAACAGGUGAAAUUAUUUACAAUAAUGUAUUUUAACCAAUAAUAAGAUGACCAACUGUCCUGGUUUGCCCAGGACUAAGGGGUUCUCUGGGCUGCAGGCCUUUCAUUUCAGUACUGAAACCAGGAAUGUCUGUGCCAAACCAGAACAAGUUGGUCAUCUUACCCAGUAUAUCCAAAAAGUUACAACUUCAACAUACAAUCAAGAUGUUUAAGUAUAUACAUAUUUAUAUAUAUGUAUGUAUAUUUACACAUAUAUACAUAUUAUAUAUAUAUUACUAUCUUUAAAAUCUGACAUGUAUUUUGUACUUACAGCAUGUCUUUUUUUUUUAAGAUUUAUUUAUUUUAGAGAGAGAGAAUGAGAGAGAACGGGAGGGGGAGAGGGAGAGGGAGAGAGAAAAUCUCAAGCAGACACCCCGCUGAGCACAGAGCCUGGCAUGGAGCCUGAUCCCACGACCCUGAGAUCAUGACCUGAGCUGAAACCAAGAGUCAGAUGCUCAACUGACCAUGCCACCUAGGUGCCCCACUUACGCCAUGUCUUAAUUCAGACUUGGCACAUUGCCAGUGCUCAAUAGCUGCCUUUGGCUACUGGGAGUUAUCAUAUUGGACAAGGCAGAUAUAGGGAGAUACUUGAUAUUGAAAUAAACCAGUUAAUAAACUGGAGACCCGGGAGCCUGGGUGGCUCAGUCGUUAAGCGUCUGCCUUCGGCUCAGGUCAUGAUUCCAGGUCCUGGGAUCGAGCCCCGCAUUGGGCUCCCUGCUACGCGGGAAGUCUGCUUCUCCCUCUCCCACUCCCCCUGCUUGUGUUCCCUCUCUCGCUGUGUCUCUCUCUCUGUCAAAUAAAUAAAUAAAAUCUCUAAAAAAAAAAAGCUGGAGACCCAUAACGCUCUCACCAGGGUACGAACCUUAGGACCCCACCCUAUAUGUGAAACCCACCUCCACACUUCAGGAACCCCAACCCUGUGGAAGGGGUCCCAGGUGAACCUGCAUUCUGUGCUUUCUUGGCAUCCUGGAGUCCAUUGAUAUGGUAGCAUGUCAGGAUAUUCAUAACAGUAAAAGUAGUAAAAUAAAAAUAGAAGCUUCCAUUUCUUGUGUGCUGCCAUUUUCUCAUUUAAUCAGCAGAAAAACCCCAGGUGAUGUUAUUAAUAAUUUGUUUAAAGAUUUUAUUUAUUUGAGAAGGAGAGCGAGAGAGAGAGAGAGAGCACAAGCAGGGGUGAGGGGCAGAGGCAGAGGGAGAAGCAGACUCCCCGCUGAGCGUAGAGCCUGACAGGGCUCCAUCCCAGGACCCUGAGAUCAUGACCUGAGUUGAAAGCAGAUGCUUAACUGACUGAGCCCCCCAGAUGCCCCUCAAGUGAUGUUGCUAUUUCCAUGUUACAGGUAAGGAAACAAGCUGAGAGGAAUAAUCCUAUGCCUAAGGUCACAGAGUGACAGGCUGGAUCCUCAGGAAGGGCUAAGAAAGGUAAUAGUCAGGACUGAGAGCAGGGAGCCGGGCUGCCCCUGACUUUGUGUCCUUGCUUGUAACCCACAUUAACCAUAUACCAUGGGGGAGGGGAGGUUCUGACAAAUGAGAAGCCAUGUGUAAAGCACUUAGCAUGUAAGUAUCUAGGAGAGAACUACUGCUAUUAUUACCGUGAUUAUCGUAUGACAAUGUCAUGAUAGUGUCGUGAUUAUGAUACGAAUGGACAUCAAAGAGCAAAGACUGAGUUUCCAAAGGGAACAGAGGUGGAGAACCAGGACUUGCAAAAUGAACCCCGUCCUCCCCAAUUGCAUCUUUGCCCCAGGGUGGGGGCCUUCUCGGUUGUAAUUUUACACCGAUGUCCACACCCUGCUGGAAAGAAAGAGAAACAAAUUCUAAGCCUGAAUAUUUGUUCUGCCUCCAAAGAGGAGCUGGUUCUUUCAGCAGCAACUGGAGAGGUGGGAAGGCUCUGCUCCCCUACCCCCCGCCCCAGCCCCAGCUGCAGAGGUCCCCAGGCCAUGUGGGUGGGUGCUGGGGGCCAUGUAGGCAGGCUGCUCGGAGAAAGACCCCGCUCUCCCACUCCCCCACCCACUAAGGUGGAGCCCAGAAUGGACAGAGCGACAUUUGUGAAAGCCUGUCUUUCCUGGACUCACACAAUGGACUCCAUGACUGAUUUUAUCGACAUUCCCUAAGUGGCUGCUUCCUUGAGUGCGUAAGCAUCUCAUGUCCGUGAGUUAUCUUUUUUGAUUUUUGCAAGAACUCUGUGAGCUUGGUGCUGUUAUUAUCAUCCCCGUGUUACAAACAGGGUAACUGAGGCCGCAAAAAAAAAUCAGGUCACUCGCUCAGGUCCCUUUGGGAUUCGGUGUCAGAGUCUGGAUUCAAACCCUGGUUUAUCCAACUCCAGAGGUCAGUUCUGAGUCUCUGAGCGCUCAGUCCCUCAGAGGCCGCAGUCCUGACGGCCAGAAGCAGUUUGCCUCAUACUGCUAAAGGAAUGAAGGCGGUGGCCACCAUUCACUGGACAUUUGUGUGUUGUUCAUUCAGCAGGGGUGGGGAAACAGGGUCUGCUGCAGGCCUCGAUUCCCUCCCUCUAGGCCUUCCCAGCCCAAGGUGGACCUCACCCAGAGCAUGCCCAGCCCCCCACCCCACCCUCUCCAGUCUUGCUAGAAUCACCAAAAAAAAAAAAAAAGUUUGCAAAUGACUGGCUCUUUUCCUCCACCCAGUUUGGCUGGCUUCUUUGGAAGAUUUAUGUAUGGGCCUGGUUUGUUUUUUUUAAAAAGUGCAGACAAAUGCCACAGAGCACUUUUCUGCUAAAGAAAACCCUGUCUAGCCACUGCUCACCUGGCAAACCUAGACUGCCUUCCAACUGGAACAGAACUGCCUUUGUGGCCGGCAGGACGGCUGACAAAGCCUUUUCCAUCCUUAUCUCGUGGACUCCCCUCUCCCCCAAUUCCCUGCACGCCAGGAUUAGACUUAUUACUCUCAGAGCACUCAAGGACAGGGACUAUUUAUCUUUAUCUCAGGGUUUAAAAGAGUUGAGAGACAUUUGUGACCACUCACUGAAUUGCCAGGGAGGAGGGACCUGCUCACGGUCACACAGUUAGCAUCAGACGUGGGUUGAGCAUUAGGUCUUCUGGCUCGAAAACCCAAGUGCUAGUGCGCCUUUUGGAUACUCAAGGAUGUUUAUUGCAGCACUGUUUAUAACAGCCCAAAUGUUGCUCACUGCUGGGUCCCUCACAUGCACUGUAGCCUUGCUUCUCCAAGUGUAGUCCCUCCGGCAGCUUGGUCAGCACCUGGGCAUGCACAGAAUCUCAGGCGCCACCCCAGACCCACUGAAUCAGGACCUUCAGGUUAACAAGAUCCCCAGGGGGAUUCAUAUGCUCAUUACAUCCGGCAAGUACUGCGUUACAGUAUGUCCAUCAGAUUACCUCAGUACUUUUUACGAAAGAGUGUGAUGGAUCUACCUAGGCUGAUAUGAAAAGAUCUCAAAAUGUAUUGUUUAGGGGGAAAAAAAGAAAAGCAAGUUACAGGGGUGCUUUGGUGGCUCAGUCAGUUAAGCGUCUGCCUUCAGCUCAGGUCAUGAUCCCAGGGUCCUGGGAUCGAGCCCCACAUCGGGCUCCCUGCUCAGCGGGAAGCCUGCUUCUCCCUCUCCCUUUGCUGCUCCCCCAGCUUGUGCUGUCUCUCUUCUUCUCUGUCAAUUAAAUAAAUAAAAUCUUUAAAAGAAAAAGGAAAGCAAGUUACAGACCAACAUGAAUUUGUACAAUCCAAUUUGUGUAUACAUUUUUAAAAUAAAAAUAACACUACUAUGUGAUAAUACAUGCACGGGGCUAAUCACCCCAGGCAGCAUCGCGGGAUACCAGUCUAGAAGGGGAGCCCAAGUCGCACUGGACUAGAUCAAAACAUGGUGCCAGUUAACUCGGGUUUCCGCCUGGGGCAGCCAUGUUGUAACCAGUGAUCAGAGAGAAAGAGCAUCCUCUGGGGGAAAUUAGAACAUUCUCUAUCCAGCACUAGGGGCAACUCUUGGCUUUGCCACUAAGCCAGAGCCCAGCUAGAUGACAGUUCUCCCAAGUCCUUGGUCAUGUCAGCUUAUCCUUGGUCAGAGCUGUGUGCUGCCCUGAGACCCCGCGGUUUGUGACUCUGUCACCUGCAUCACGUGCCCUUUAAUGCAGGCACCAAGGAGCAGACUGCUUGGACAACUACAAUUCCAGGAUAAUUCCAAAUAAGUUAAAAGGUCUGGUUUCAUUCUGUGCAUGUAAUAAAUCCUUUAUUUUGAAAAGAAAGAGGAACGAUAUAUUUUAUUAACAGAAAAAUCAGUUUCUGCACAUCCUGCCUAGGUAAAUUUUGGACAACUGUUUUUAAAAUAUCAAAAUAUCAAGUUGAGGGGAUGCCAGAUUAUUUGGCUGGCCAGGGCACCUCUGAGUCUCAGCUGGAUUCUGUAUGUGGAUAAAGAAAACAAAGAAUGCUGGAAGGAUUUAUAGGAGACAGUUAACCAGGCAAUCACUAGGAGGUGGUAUUAUAAGAACUUUUACUUUCUGCCUGAAGGAUUUUCUUUCUACCUUAAAUGCAUCUCUAAUGUUUUGAAACAGACAUUAUCGGUGGGAAUGUAAAAUGGCACGGCCACUUUGGAAAGCAGUUUCUUUAAAAAAGUUAAACCUAUACCCACCAUGUGAUCCAGCCAUUCCACACCUAGGUAAUUAACCAAGGGAAAUAAAAGCAUGUGUCUGUAAAAAGACUUGUACUUGGAUGUUCAUACCAGUUUCGUUUAACAAAAACUAGACACAACCCAAAGGUCCAUUAACAGGUAAACGGAUGAACCGAGCGUCCUGCGUCUGCACAAUGGAUUUGUUCGCGCUCAGCAAUAAAAAGGAAGGACCUCCGGAUAUACCUGGCAACAUAGCUGAAUCUCAAACUAAUUACGCUAAGUGAAGGGAGCCAGACGAAAAAAGAAUACAUACUGUGUGAUUCCACUUCCAUAAAAUUCUACAAAAUGCAAACGAAUUAUAAUGACAGAGAGCAGAUCAGUGUGUGCUUGGGCCAUCGGGAGUAGGUGAGGAGAGAUGGGAGGGAGAGAUUACAAAAGAGGAUGAGGAAACUUUUAGGAGUGAUCGAUAUCUUCCCCAUUUUGACUGUAGUCAUAGUUUCAUUAAUAUAAAAAAGCAGGCAGGAGCCUGCU